AGUGAACGCUGGCGGUAGGCCUAACACAUGCAAGUCGAAUGGCAGCACAGUAAGAGCUUGCUCUUACGGGUGGCGAGUGGCGGACGGGUGAGGAAUACAUCGGAAUCUACUUUUUCGUGGGGGAUAACGUAGGGAAACUUACGCUAAUACCGCAUACGACCUACGGGUGAAAGCAGGGGAUCUUCGGACCUUGCGCGAUUGAAUGAGCCGAUGUCGGAUUAGCUAGUUGGCGGGGUAAAGGCCCACCAAGGCGACGAUCCGUAGCUGGUCUGAGAGGAUGAUCAGCCACACUGGAACUGAGACACGGUCCAGACUCCUACGGGAGGCAGCAGUGGGGAAUAUUGGACAAUGGGCGCAAGCCUGAUCCAGCCAUACCGCGUGGGUGAAGAAGGCCUUCGGGUUGUAAAGCCCUUUUGUUGGGAAAGAAAAGCAGCAGGUUAAUACCCCGCUGUUCUGACGGUACCCAAAGAACAAGCACCGGCUAACUUCGUG
rnacentral:rRNA from 1 species